AUUGAUCGCAGUGUGCUUAACGAGAUGCUUUUGAGUGCCGGCGAUGCCUAACAAGUAAUCGUCGCGUAGGCUAAAAAUUUCAAUGAUAAAGAGUUUGCAACCACUGUUUCAUCUGAAAAGGUCACAUAUUAAAUAUCCGUCACAUACUAAAUACACCUGCCUCAAAAGAGUCGCGCGAUUCUAAAAUUACCUCAAACUUAAGU